UUCAAAGGGAAGUUCUUCUACUGCUUUGGCCCCGACGUCAAGAACAUCACCAACAAGUCUGACUGUCUGCAGGCCAACUACAAAUGGGUUCAUCACAAGUACAACUUUGACAACCUGGGACAGGCUCUGAUGUCCCUGUUUGUGCUGGCUUCAAAGGACGGUUGGGUCAACAUCAUGUACCAUGGCCUGGAUGCUGUAGGGGUGGACCAACAGCCAGUGAUCAACAACAGUCCAUGGAUGCUCCUCUACUUCAUCUCCUUCCUCCUCAUCGUCAGUUUCUUCGUUCUGAACAUGUUUGUGGGCGUGGUAGUGGAGAACUUCCACA